rnacentral:rRNA from 1 species
UACGUAUGGUGCAAGCGUUAUCCGGAUUUACUGGGUGUAAAGGGAGCGCAGGCGGCACGGCAAGCCUGAUGUGAAAGCCCGCGGCCCAACCGCGGGACUGCAUUGGGAACUACCGGGCUGGAGUGCCGGAGAGGUAGGCGGAAUUCCUAGUAUAGCGGUGAAAUGCGUAGAUAUUAGGAGGAACACCAGUGGCGAAGGCGGCCUACUGGACGGUGACUGACGCUGAGGCUCGAAAGCGUGGGGAGCAAACAGG